GUGAAUCAUCAAAUUUUUGAACGCAAAUUGCACUCUCUGGUGAUAGUAAGCCUGUUUGAGUUUCAGCCUAAAAAUAAUUGACAUAGUUUCUGGUACGCGGUAACAUUCGUCAGGAAUUGGGUCAUCUUAAACCUGUGUUUUGAAACGGCUUAAAAUUUUCUUUACGAUUCCAUGAGCGUUUCUAAGAUUUUAUUUUCUUAUACUUGUAAGGUAUCGAUCUUUAUUAGACGUUCCCGUUGCAUCGCAUCUCUUCCUUAAAUU
rnacentral:misc_RNA from 1 species